rnacentral:rRNA from 1 species
AGCAGUCGCCGCGGGAAUACGUAGGGUGCAAGCGUUAAUCGGAAUUACUGGGCGUAAAGCGUGCGCAGGCGGUUUGUUUAAGUCUGUCGUGAAAGCCCUGGGCUCAACCUGGGAAUUGCGAUGGAUACUGGGCGACUAGAGUGCGGUAGAGGAUAGUGGAAUUUCCGGUGUAGCAGUGUAAUUCGUAGAUAUUCGCAAGAACACCAGUGGCGAAGGCGGCUCACUGGCCCGAUACUGACGCUGAGGUGCGAAAGCGUGGGAGCAAACAGGAUUAGAUACCCCAGUAGUCCCUGUCUCUUAUAC